AGCAUAUCAAUAAGCGGAGGAAAAGAAACCAACAGGGAUUGCCCCCAGUAACGGCGAGUGAAGCGGCAAGAGCUCAAAUUUGAAAGCUGGCUCCUUCGGGGUCCGCAUUGUAAUUUGCAGAGGAUGCUUCGGGAGCGGUCCCCAUCUAAGUGCCCUGGAACGGGACGUCAUAGAGGGUGAGAAUCCCGUAUGGGAUGGGGUGUCCGCGCCCGUGUGAAGCUCCUUCGACGAGUCGAGUUGUUUGGGAAUGCAGCUCUAAAUGGGUGGUAAAUUUCAUCUAAAGCUAAAUAUUGGCCGGAGACCGAUAGCGCACAAGUAGAGUGAUCGAAAGAUGAAAAGCACUUUGAAAAGAGAGUUAAAAAGCACGUGAAAUUGUUGAAAGGGAAGCGCUUGCGACCAGACUCGCUCGCGGGGUUCAGCCGGCAUUCGUGCCGGUGUAUUUCCCCGCGGGCGGGCCAGCGUCGGUUUGGGCGGUCGGUCAAAGGCCCUCGGAAGGUAACGCCCCUAGGGGCGUCUUAUAGCCGAGGGUGCAAUGCGACCUGCCUAGACCGAGGAACGCGCUUCGGCUCGGACGCUGGCAUAAUGGUCGUAAGCGACCCGUCUUGAAACACGGACCAAGGAGUCUAACAUCUACGCGAGUGUUCGGGUGUCAAACCCGUGCGCGAAGUGAAAGCGAACGGAGGUGGGAACCCUUACGGGUGCACCAUCGACCGAUCCUGAAGUCUUCGGAUGGAUUUGAGUAAGAGCGUAGCUGUUGGGACCCGAAAGAUGGUGAACUAUGCCUGAAUAGGGCGAAGCCAGAGGAAACUCUGGAAAAGGCUCGUAGCGGUUCUGACGUGCAAAUCGACCGCAG
rnacentral:rRNA from 1 species